rnacentral:rRNA from 1 species
CCGUGCAAAGGUAGCGUAAUCACUUGUCCUCUAAAUAGGGACCAGUAUGAACGGCAACAUGAGAAAGGGCCUGUCUCUUUAAGCUAGUCGGUGAACCUGAUCUGCCUGUACAAAAGCAGGCAUGCAAAAACAAGACAAAAAGACCCUGUGAAACUUAAAAUGCCCCCCAACUAAAUGGGGAAGCAUUUUUUGGUUGGGGCAACCAAAGAGAAACAAACCUCACAAUUUUGCAAGGCAAACAAGCCUAACAAAUCAAAAAGAUCCAGUACCACUGAUCGAAGAACGAAGCUACUCCAGGGAUAACAGCGCCACAUUCUUAAAGAGUCCUUAUCAACAAGAAUACCUACGACCUCGAUGUUGGAUCAGGGUAUCCUAAUGGCGCAAAAGCUAUUAAGGGUUCGUUUGUUCAACGAUUAAAACCCUACGUGAUCUGAGUUCAGAC